rnacentral:ncRNA from 2 species
GGGAAAGCCGGUGCGAAUCCGGCACUGACCCGCAACCGUGAGCCGCCCCGCCAAGGGCGGCGAGUCGGAAUGCCC